AUCAAGGGUCGGGAAGUGCCCUUAAAUCUCUCUCAAACUACUGCAAUAUAUGUCAUUUUUGAAAAGUUGCUGUGGAAAAUGGUCUGUAAUUCGCGUUUUCUUGACUGGAAUUUAAUUCUGUUUGCUUCAGGUGAUAGAAGAUGAGUUUUUUAAUCUUAUGAACUUACAUACAGUCACCCUCAAGGGUCGGAAAGUGCCCUUAAAUCACUCUCAAACUUCAGCAAUUUUUGUCAUUUUUGAAAAGUUGCUGUGGAAAAUGGUGAUAGAAGAAGAGUUCUUUAAUCGUAUGAACUAUAGUCAGUCACCCUUAAUGAUCGGGAAGUGCCCUUAAAUCAUUCUCAAGUUCAGCAAGUUUUGUCAUGUUUGAAAAGUUGUGGUGGAAUACGGCCUGCAUCUCACGUUUUAGUUACUCGAUUUUAAUAAUUUUGAGUAUCUGGAAGUAUUAAAUUAAUCUCCAAUUAUUUGGUACUAGAAGUACCAAAACAGGCACUGCUUGCUAUGCACCCAUAGUAAGGAUCUGUACGCGCGGGACUUGUAUGUAAACAAUUUUUUUGCUGCGUUCUGCGAACGUAUCGCGCAAUACUGAUAGUGACCUCGUGUUGUCGCAGUUGGCUGUAUGCAUUUUGCUGCACACGCAAUUCAAUUCCGGGCGUCGAGUGUGGUGCGCGUGUCCUGUUACUUCAGAUCAUAAUUAAGUAAAUUGAUUUAUAUUCAUUAAGCAAUCGACUGCAUAUACCAGAAUCGGGGUUGACCGGGGUUUUACAAGCGUGAAUGCAUGCUGCUGUGUUUAACAAUCGUGGAUUAAUUCUCGAUUCACCUGUACGCGCGCGUCCGUCGGCAUUCAGUUAUCGCUUGGAUAUAUAAUUAAUUCCAGCAAAUGAACAACUUUGAUGCCCAGACAAGUAGUUUGUGAAUGCACGAAUGGAGUUUGCAAUAUCUAUAGGUGAAGUGUUGGAGAUGUGAGUGUUUAAGGCAAGUUUUUACUACUUCCGAAUUUGCUAACUGUCGAUAUUUGUCUAUUUAAGAAAAAUGUAUCUAUUAUUAUUGUUGUCAAUAAAACUCACGGUAAAAUUAUAA